AGCUUGUGUGUUUAUUGCCUAGAUCAACCUAAUAUAUUUCUUUGUUUAAUGCUUCCAUUAUCUUAAAUUUAAAGAGCUUGUUUUAAAUUAUUUAAUGGUUAGAGAUUAGGUGAAGAGCUUAUUUUACCUAACGACACACUAAGGAAAGAUUGAGACUAACAGAGCUUAUUGUUGUCUAUGGUUGAUAGUUUUAAUAUAAAUUGAUAAUAGAAUUGAUAUAUUAUGUGCAUGUUUGGUGGUGGCGAAUGAUCCUUUAACCAAAGUUUUCAUCAUUAUUAUUUCUUUCUCCUUUAAUUAGAGUUUUUAUUAAAUUCUUGUUCGUAAUUUUGAUUUCUUUAUUUCUUACUAUUUAGUUAAAAAUUCAUAAACCCC
rnacentral:lncRNA from 1 species